rnacentral:lncRNA from 1 species
GGAGAGAUAAUAUAUAUUUGAAAGUGAUACAUAUGUUUUGCGGUGAGAAUAAUUUUAUAAUAGCGACAAGUUUAAAAUGUUGGAGUGGGGUGACAACAAAUAAUGUUAUUUCUCUAAAUACAUUCGUUACUAUGUCAAACUGCAAUCGAUGCAUGACUAAAAAUGAAACGAAUUCAGCUGGGUCCGUAAUUACUCAAAGUUGCUACAUGAAUUUAGAUUGCAACGGAGGAUGCGGAGUUAGCAUAGAAGGCUUUAAUUGUGUGGUUACAUGCUGCGAUACUGAUUUCUGCAACGGAUCAAAAUCUGGCAGUUGCUUUUCUUUGGAAUUUUGUUCAUGGAAAUUGCUUGCGGGAAUUUUAUUUGUAAUUUUUGUAACAAAUAACUAAAAUUACCGUCAAAAUGUUAA